AGCAGCCGCGGUAAUUCCAGCUCCAAUAGCGUAUAUUAAAAGUUGUUGCAGUUAAAAAAGCUCGUAGUUGAAUUUCGGGAUCAAUUUAUUGGUCGUGCUAUUGUACGUACUGGUAUUAUUGAUUUCUACCUUCUGACGAACCAUGAUGUCAUUAAUUUGGUGUCUUGGGGAAUCAGGACUGUUACUUUGAAAAAAAUUAGAAGUGUUUAAAGCAGGCUCACGCUUGAAUACAUUAGCAUGGAAUAACGAAAUAGGACGUUUGAUUCUAUUUUGUUGGUUUCUAGGAUCGACGUAAUGAUUAAUAGGGAUAGUUGGGGGCAUUAGUAUUCAAUUGUCAGAGGUGAAAUUCUUGGAUUUAUUGAAGACUAACUACUGCGAAAGCAUUUGCCAAGGAUGUUUUCAUUAAUCAAGAACGAAAGUUAGGGAUCGAAGACGAUCAGAUACCGUCGUAGUCUUAACCAUAAACUAUGCCGACUAGGGAUCGGAUGAUGUUAAUUUUUUAAUGUACUCAUUCGGCGCCUUACGGGAAACCU
rnacentral:rRNA from 1 species